CGGGUGCGGCAUACUUUUGCACAUAUACGUAUUAUACUUGAUUUUGCUGUUUGUCUGUGGUGAAGUGAAGUGCCAUAGUUUCUUUGUUGGUAAACAAAGCCGUAUUAAAAUAUUAAUAAAAAAAUUGUUUUCGUUGGAUCAAAGUACUUGCUACUGCUAGUUUUUUGUUUUCGAUAGAAGUAAUUAAUUAAUCAUUUUAUCGUAUACAUUUUUAUUAGUGUUAAUAGUUAAUUUAUCAAAGUAAACGGCCACUUUUACAUAAAACAUUAUCUACACGAAAGUUCUUCAAAGUUUUAUCGUCUGCCUAUGAUUAAUUUAAUGGUCGUUGUGAUAAUAUGUAAAGUAUAUUGUAUAGUGUUUUGUUUAUUAAAGUUCAUCGCUUGCAAAUAAAGAUGUCCGGGAAACUCAAUGAUCGCCUUGGCUUGGAUCAAACUUGGCGAUGGGUUGUUUUGGAGGGCCUUUGGAAAGUCAGGCUACUAAAUAAACCUUCCGUGUUCGCGUCUGCCAGUGGCGUUGUAUCAACAUGAAGAUGUGGGCUCUAAACUUUGAGUGCCAGGGACUGACUAUGGAAGUCUCCAUGUCGCUGGUCACCAUUGAUGUGCAAAACACCUUGAAAAAAUUGGUGAUUCUGAAUCCUUCAUCUCUAUGAACGAUUCAUGAAGAAAGAAUUAAACAAACAUUUAAUGAACAGAUUUUUUAUAAGAUUAUUAUCAAUAAUGACAUUGCAUAUGAGAGAAAAUUGUCAAAUAUAAUUUCAUUUUAAUUUAAUAUAGUUAAUUAUGACAUCACUGUAUAUAAAGAAUAUGAUUAUUAUCAUUUGGUUAAUUUCAGUAUUACAUAGUAUUAGAUGAAAAUUGUAUUGUAAAAUUGCACAUCAAAAUAUGUUUUAUUAUCUAUUAUUAGGAGGAAAUAUUAUUUAACUAUUAUUAUUAUCCCUAAUAGCCCAGUGAAUGUGACCUCUGCCUCCAAUUCCGGAGGGUGUGGGUUCGAACCCGUUCCGGGGCACGCACCUCCAACUUUUCUAUUGUGUGCAUUUUAAGAAACUAAAUAUCACGUGUCUCAAACAGUGAAGGAAAACAUCGUGAGGAAACCUGCAUACCAGAGAAUUCUCUUAAUUCUCUGCAUAUGUGAUGUCUGCCAAUGUAAUCCAAAUAUGCUGGCCCAUAUUCGGCUCCUGUCAGAAUGAGAGGGGUUAGGCAUUGGCCUUCCCUUACCUUAUCAGCCGAUAGACGUCCACUGCUGGACAUAGGCCUCUUACAUGGACCUCCAAGCACAACGACCUUGAGCCGCGAACAUCCAACCAACCGACCAACCACGCUUUCCAGUGCGGGGUCUCCCGAGUGCGGGUAGGCACUCGAGCUCAGCAGUGAGCCGAAUAUGUGUUUAUAAUGAUGAUGAUGAUGAUGAUGAUGAUGAUGAUGAUGAUGAUGAUGAUGAUGAUGAUGAUGAUGAUGAUGAUUAUUUAAGUAAUUGUAAAAGAAAAAAUUGAAUACUACAUUAGUUGUUUAUCUAUACAAUUCAAUAAUUUUAAGAACAAAACAUGUACCUACCACAUUGUAGGAAAUAAAUAAAUAAUGAUUUGAUUAAAAACAAUGUUGUUUAAUGUUAAGCAGGUAGGGCCAGGUAGUUCUAUAUUUGUGUAACAUCUAUUACUUAAAAAUAAAAAAUAUAUUUACUUGUG